GCGAGGCCGGGGGGCAACCCCCGAGUCGAGCGGCGAACGGGUGAGUAACGCGUGGGUGACCUACCUCUGGGUGGGGGAUAACCCGGGGAAACUCGGGCUAAUACCGCAUGACAUCCAAGGAUCAAAGGGGGCCGCAAGACUCUCGCCAGGAGAGGGACCCGCGUACGAUUAGCUAGUUGGUAGGGUAACGGCCUACCAAGGCGACGAUCGUUAGCCGGCCUGAGAGGGUGAUCGGCCACACUGGAACUGAGACACGGUCCAGACUCCUACGGGAGGCAGCAGUGGGGAAUUUUGCGCAAUGGGCGAAAGCCUGACGCAGCAACGCCGCGUGGAGGAUGAAGGUCUUCGGAUCGUAAACUCCUGUCAGCAGGGACGAAAUACGCCGGGUUCAUACCCCGGCGGGUUGACGGUACCUGCAGAGGAAGCCCCGGCUAACUCUGUGCCAGCAGCCGCGGUAAUACAGAGGGGGCAAGCGUUAUUCGGAAUUAUUGGGCGUAAAGGGCGCGUAGGCGGCUUAGCAAGUGGAUGGUGAAAUCCCUCGGCUCAACCGAGGAACUGCCGUCCAAACUGCGUGGCUUGAGUCCGGGAGAGGUGAGUGGAAUUCCCAGUGUAGCGGUGAAAUGCGUAGAUAUUGGGAGGAACACCAGUGGCGAAGGCGGCUCACUGGACCGGAACUGACGCUGAGGCGCGAAAGCGUGGGGAGCAAACGGGAUUAGAUACCCCGGUAGUCCACGCC
rnacentral:rRNA from 1 species